AAGAAAUUCUUCAAGAAGCCAAAGAGAUGAUAUAAAAGAAUCUUUUGAGGUUUUUGAGCUUCAGGCUAAACAGGGAGAAACAUUCUGCAGAAGAAAUUGUCAUAAUAAAGUUUCAUAUUUUUCAAUUCCUGUUUCUCCUGAGAAGCUAAGGAAUAUAACUUUCAUACUCUAGUCGUAUUAUAGAAAGACUUUGGCUUAAUAGAGAAGCGAUUAGGAUUUGGAACAAUUCUAUUUGCCUAAGAAGAGGUCAGUUCAUAAUAAAAGGAAGAUCAUAACCAGGGUACCUGGGUUUACCUUGGCUUUAUAAAGCGGUAGACCACCAGCAUGCUCACGAAGUCCAGCAGCAUACACAGGGCUUGAAAGGAGAUGAUAGCCAGUCGCAAGUACUUGUCUUCCUGGACAAAGCAGGGGCUGUCGUCAGCACAGUAGGGGCAGCCCUCGCUGCACGGCAGGCAGACGUGGACUUCUUCUGACACAUCCUUGGCACUUUCUACAAAAUGGUGAUCCGGACCCCUUCCUGAAAAUUCCAAAUAAAACCAGUGUCACUGCACCUUGGAAGCAGGUGAGACAGAAUCAAAACACAUCCUCCUUCUUCAUUCCUUUUCCUCUAACUAAAAACCUUUUUCAACCUUCUUGCUCAGAGAGUUACUUUGCCUUUAGACUCAAACAAAAUUCUUUUCAUCCUUUUGAUUUAAAAAAAUGUCAUUUGGAGCAAUUGAGGAAAAUUAGCAAAAUGGAACUAAAUCUCCUCAGAGGCAGGGAACAGUUUUCUGUCUUUAUUUCACUAUCUUCCACUCCUAAUGGAAACUCCCUAUGGUCACAAAUCAUAUUCUAUAAGUAUUUGCUAAAGAAUUAACCAGAAAAAAAAAAAGGAUGAGAAAGUUGUAUCAUUCCUGUACCAAGUAAAUAUACACAACACUUUUGGAACCUCUUGACCUAGAUGGCACAGAAUCUGAAAUGAGGCUUUGACUGCUCUUUAAUCCAGCAGGGAUUUCAUCCACCAAGUUCAUUAGGUCUAAAUUGGAUAAAAUGGCACUUAAUCGACAGUUGUUCAGUGUGCAAUUGCCUAAUGAUGCUGCAUCCUCUGCCCAGAGGACAGUCCAUACUUACAGGCUAUCGUGUAAUUUCCCACUCUGCACACCCAUAGGACAUUUCCACACUAUUAACUAACUGCUGUUACUGAUCUACCUUUAGUUUUGGAUUCUUAUGUCUUGGUUAUCAAACUUAACUUAGCCCUGAAGCCCAAGAAGUAAGAAUUCUCUCUAAAUGUUGAGUUGGCAAUGCUCCGUCACUUCAGUCAUGGCCAACUCUUUGUGACCCCAUAGACUAUAGUCUUCCAGGUUCCUCUGUCCAUGGGAUUCUCCAGGCAAGAAUACUGAAGUGGAUUGCCAUGCCCUCCUCCAGGGGCCUUCCCAACUCAGGGAAUGAAACCAUGUCUCAGGUCUCCUGUGCUGCAGGUGGA
rnacentral:lncRNA from 1 species